UGGGGAAUCUUGCACAAUGGGCGAAAGCCUGAUGCAGCAACGCCGCGUGCGGGAAGACAGCCCUAGGGUUGUAAACCGCUUUCAGCAGGGAAGAAACUGACGGUACCUGCAGAAGAAGAUGCGGCCAACUACGUGCCAGCAGCCGCGGUGACACGUAGGCAUCAAGCGUUAUCCGGAUUUAUUGGGCGUAAAGAGCUCGUAGGCGGUUCGGUAAGUCGGGUGUGAAAUCCAAGGCUCAACCUUGGGACGCCACCCGAUACUGCUGUGACUCGAGUGCAGUAGGGGAGCAGGGAAUUCCUGGUGUAGCGGUGAAAUGCGCAGAUAUCAGGAGGAACACCAGUGGCGAAGGCGCUGCUCUGGGCUGUGAACUGACGCUGAGGAGCGAAAGCAUGGGUAGCAAACAGGAUUAGAUACCCUGGUAGUCCAUGCCGUAAACGUUGGGCACUAGGUGUGGGUCUCAACCAACGAGAUCCGCGCCGUCGCUAACGCAUUAAGUGCCCGCCUGGGAGUACGGUCGCAAGACUAAAACUC
rnacentral:rRNA from 1 species